GAGGCGUCGAGCGGCGGACGGGUGAGUAAUGCAUAGGAAUCUGCCCGGUAGUGGGGGAUAACUUGAGGAAACUCAAGCUAAUACCGCAUACGCCCCAAGGGGGAAAGCAGGGGAUCUUCGGACCUUGCGCUAUCGGAUGAGCUUAUGUCGGAUUAGCUAGUUGGUGAGGUAACGGCUCACCAAGGCCGCGAUCCGUAGCUGGUCUGAGAGGAUGAUCAGCCACAUCGGGACUGAGACACGGCCCGAACUCCUACGGGAGGCAGCAGUGGGGAAUAUUGGACAAUGGGCGAAAGCCUGAUCCAGCCAUGCCGCGUGUGUGAAGAAGGCCCUCGGGUUGUAAAGCACUUUCAGCGAGGAAGAAGGCUUGUGGGCUAAUACCCCGCAAGAAGGACAUCACUCGCAGAAGAAGCACCGGCUAACUCCGUGCCAGCAGCCGCGGUAAUACGGAGGGUGCAAGCGUUAAUCGGAAUUACUGGGCGUAAAGCGCGCGUAGGCGGCUUGAUAAGCCGGUUGUGAAAGCCCCGGGCUCAACCUGGGAACGGCAUCCGGAACUGUCAGGCUAGAGUGCAGGAGAGGAAGGUAGAAUUCCCGGUGUAGCGGUGAAAUGCGUAGAGAUCGGGAGGAAUACCAGUGGCGAAGGCGGCCUUCUGGACUGACACUGACGCUGAGGUGCGAAAGCGUGGGUAGCAAACAGGAUUAGAUACCCUGGUAGUCCACGCCGUAAACGAUGUCGACUAGCCGUUGGGGUCCUCGAGACCUUUGUGGCGCAG
rnacentral:rRNA from 1 species